rnacentral:tRNA from 1 species
GCCAGCGUGGCGGAAUGGCAGACGCAUUUGACUCAAAAUCAACCGGUAACAACCUUGUGGGUUCGAAUCCCACCGCUGGUUCCA